rnacentral:misc_RNA from 1 species
GAGCCCUUUACUUGAACCUGGCGCUGCCCUUGAUGGAUGAUCGGAAACGGUUGGAUGGUUGCGGUGGUGAGAAGAAAAGUCCGGCGUUGUGUCGCUAGAGGACUUGCGGAUGUAGAUGAAUAAGCCCAUGAAGAAGAGACCUAUUAGAAGGCCAAGAAUGGUUAAGGAGAUGGAAGAGCCAAAGGGUGGAUGAGAAUUUUGUUGUUGUAAAGAUGGCUGCGGCGAUGGUGGUGAGGCCGUGGUGGAGGAGUUAUGAAGGGUGUUGAGGGAUUGGAACGACAUGUCGUUCAAUGACACUUGUAAUUUACGGCUAUGAUAUAUCAUUGAAGGCUGAGAAGUAAAAAGAAUGGGCAUGGCCGCGAGUGUGUGUAUGGGGGCGUGUGGGGGAGAGUUAAUGGCGGUGGUGGAGGAGGACGAUGGAAUAAGAAGGGUGAUCAAGGGGGUGGUGAAGGUGAUGCUCCACCAGAAAUGGGUCCAUAAGGCCGGUACUAGAUGCAUGGACAUUAAAUGAUGAGAAAAUAA